AGCGAACGCUGGCGGCAGGCCUAACACAUGCAAGUCGAACGAACCUUUCGGGGUUAGUGGCGGACGGGUGAGUAACACGUGGGAACGUGCCUUUAGGUUCGGAAUAACUCAGGGAAACUUGUGCUAAUACCGAAUGUGCCCUUCGGGGGAAAGAUUUAUCGCCUUUAGAGCGGCCCGCGUCUGAUUAGCUAGUUGGUUGAGGUAAUGGCUCACCAAGGCGACGAUCAGUAGCUGGUCUGAGAGGAUGAUCAGCCACAUUGGGACUGAGACACGGCCCAAACUCCUACGGGAGGCAGCAGUGGGGAAUCUUGCGCAAUGGGCGGAAGCCUGACGCAGCCAUGCCGCGUGAAUGAUGAAGGUCUUAGGAUUGUAAAAUUCUUUCACCGGGGACGAUAAUGACGGUACCCGGAGAAGAAGCCCCGGCUAACUACGUG
rnacentral:rRNA from 1 species